rnacentral:rRNA from 1 species
GCAUAUCAAUAAGCGGAGGAAAAGAAACUAACAAGGAUUCCCCUAGUAACUGCGAGUGAAGCGGGAAGAGCUCAAAUUUGAAAUCUGGCGUCUUCGGCGUCCGAGUUGUAAUCUGGAGAAGCGUUUUCCGUGCCGGACCGUGUACAAGUCCAUUGGAACAUGGCGUCAUAGAGGGUGAGAAUCCCGUCUUUGACACGGACUCCCGGUGCUCUGCGAUGCGCUCUCGAAGAGUCGAGUUGUUUGGGAAUGCAGCUUAAAAUGGGAGGUAAAUUUCUCCUAAGGCUAAAUAUUGGCGAGAGACCGAUAGCGAACAAGUACCGUGAGGGAAAGAUGAAAAGUACUUUGAAAAGAGAGUUAAAUAGUACGUGAAAUUGUUGAAAGGGAAACGAUUGAAGCCAGUCGUACUCACGGGUAAUCAACCUUUCUGGCGCGAUUAUGUGGGCGUGUUGGAGCCUAAUCAGCCCUCACGUUUUUAUAUUCGUUCCCCUUGGGUGUACUUGCCCGUGCGGUAGGUUAACAUCAAUUUCGGACGUCAUAAAAUGAUGGGAGGAAUGUAGCUUUGGUCUCGUACUGAAGUGUUAUAGCCUCUGGUAGAUGUGAUGUCUGGGAUUGAGGAUUGCAACGGAUACCUUUCGGGGCUACCUGUCUGGCCUCUGAUGAUUGCUAUGGUGCCGAAAGCUUGCUUACGGUCAUCAAAGUUGAUUGUCAAAAGGUUAGAACGGGUUAAAUUCGUUAAGGAUGUUGACGUA